GUUGGUUUGCAGUACUAGUAUUUACAAAUUUCUUAUAAUUUCCACGGGUCGGAGGCCAUAUAUAUUUCUUAUUUCUGUUGCUACAAGUUGAAGUGAUCAAAUGCUAUAAGGCCGCAUGUUAUUCUCCAAUUAGAAAAAUAUAAGGAAUGAUGCUACAAGUUCAAGCUUGCCUAUGUGUCCUGGUGUGUUCCCCAUUCCUCUUUCCAUAUAGCGUAUCCUGAACAUUAGAUGCUUUCAAAAAAUGUGUCACGCAAGUUCAAGUAUAAUUGCUGCAGGAGUUCAAAAAACUGAAUAGUUUAAGCUCAACUCGAUUUCAAGAACGGUUUCCUUCAUAAAUUGUUUUUAUGUUAGUUUGUUGUUAUGGGCAGUAUAGGUGAAAAUUAUUGUGUAGGACAUGUGUCCAUUGAUGUGUUUGAAUCCCUUUAGUUCACUUUGAUUCCUACAGGUGGUUCAACGUGUCGAGCGGUAGCAGCGCAUGCUCCGAAUGGUUGCCGGUGCAAGGAGGAUACAGGGAUGCUACAUUGCUGGAGGAGCAGUAGCAUGUAGUAGCUAGCUGAUGAAAAAGGUAUUGUCCUGUAGGUUUGGUCUUACCUAGUAUGGAUAACAUUUUUAUGGAAAACUUGUGAUUUCCCUGGUGCGCUAACAUGAUGUGUUGGAAUAUCAGUAUCCGCACAGCCAGCGGCCUGCUCUGGCCAUGCCGCACCACCACUGGCAUGUCCACCAUGGUUGCUGGCAGCCGUCCAAGUUGAGCGCUGAUGGUAGUCCUCUCCAUGCAUCAACGACACUCUCUCACUCUCACAGCAAAUCUCUCUCUCUCACUUUGCUUCGGCUAUUAAAAUGCGUACAUAUGUUCUACUAAUUAAGUAGUUAGGAAGAUGUGAAAAGAACUUCCUCUUUAGGUGUUCAUUACAAUUUACUAUUUUUGUUCAAUUCAAAAAUCUUAUUUUAGCCAUGUAAUAUACGUAGUUGGCAAAGAUGACUAUAGUUGUUAUAGCAAAAGCAGUACAAACUUUUUAGAAGUUUCUUUUUGAACUUCUCCCAAUUAUGAUGCACAAAAUAAAGAAGUAUGGGAUCCUUGGUUUACUUACAGGUAGGUCAUCAUUCAAACCUAACACAGAAACUCCUCGCUCGACAUUCGAACUCUUCUUUUCUCAAGACUAGUACUGCUAACUGUUCUUUCACUAUGUAUUCUUUCUCUCAGUUCAUACAGAAACGUGGUAAUAGUUUGAUGUGGAGAAAUAGUUCAUUUUUAUAUAUCAUAAGAAGAAAAGAACAUGUUUCCUAUAGGAGAAAAUCAAAAUAUUAUUAGCAACUCACUAUGUAUUCUACCAUCAGUUCUAUGUGUGUUAGUGAGAGGGUUCGGUGUCUCAUUGUUUUCACUUGCCCAGAAAAAAAUGUUUUGUUGCAGACUAGGAACAUUAUAUUUGUAGUUUUUUAUAAACAAAGAACUAGUAAGUUCAUAUAAGUUCAAAAGACAAAGCAUCGAAAGUUCAGUCGAAAGCUCUCACCACCUUCCUUUCUAUUUCUUAAUUAUUGUAGGACAUUUCAAGCACUGAGCAAAAGGGAUUAGUAUACAUUGCAGAAGUAGUUGUAGGAUGCUCAAGUUCUUUUGACUUUCUUUUCUCUCAUUCUUGACGAGUUGUUUCUUUUUUCUGGUUUCAAAAGUAGAAGAGGAAGAUGUCGAUGAAAUGCAUGAUAAUUAAUUCCCUUGAAACCGCCAUUGGUAACCUCAUUCUUCUUUCUCGACCGGAAACAAGAGGGAGCUGCAGCACUGAGACAGAUGGAGAUGCACACAUGCCAUGAUCAACACAUGCUAGACUCCAUGUCGAAUGCUCAAUUUUUUCCCUGGACUCUUGCGGCAAUUGAACUGUUUGCUGCGAAACUCCUACGUUUCGAACGAAAUGGUUACCAUGCAUCCAGGCUUAUGUAUAUCAAGAUUGUAUAGAGCUGCAGAUCACAAGAACACAUGCACUAUAGUGUCCACUUGUUGUCACUUCCCAUCUCCUGUAUUAUUCCAUCUGUAGCUCAGUCGGUUGUGCCUUGCUAAUGCCCUUUUAUUUAUUGAUGAAACAAUAGAAAAAUGCCCUGUUGGUGCCUAGGAAUUGAGCAAAUGAUGCACUGGUUUGUGCCUGGGGAUAAAGUAGAUGCAGCAGUCCAACAUGUAUUCUAUCAUUGGUUCAUAGAAAAGAAUAUGGAUUUGUUUUAUAGCUACGGACUAAUGGUGUCCUCAUCCUGGUGGGUGCUGAGUCAUGUUGUUUAAAUUCAAUCAGUUUAAUUAGAUAAGCCAUUCAAGUUUAGAGCUAACGAUAAUCAUUAGUUUGGACGAGAAACUAAAUUUGAAACUAAUACACAAAACGGUUGAAUUCUAUAAGUCCAUGUUCUAAACCAGAGACGGUACAAAAAAUCUGGUCAUAUAAAUCCAC
rnacentral:lncRNA from 1 species